AAGUCGUAACAAGGUUUCCGUAGGUGAACCUGCGGAAGGAUCAUUAACACGUAUCCAACGUUAAACAACCCUGUGAACUUUAAGUCCCCUCUUGCAGCCCAUGAGGAACAGCAAUCCCGGUAAAUCAUUGCCAAACAGUUUUGAUUCGGGACCUCUGUUGAGGAGUGAACGUUGAGACGGUUGAGAUAGGGGCAUGGCUUCCCGAAUCAAUCAUCAAAUGAAAGCGUUGAUGAUUGUGUAAGGAUAACGCUUCUCGGUCGCUGGAGGCCCACACGGUCGGCGGACAUGCCUCAUGGGCGCAAGCCCCUUUUUAACCCCACUAAACUUCUCCUUCCUUGUGGCGAAAGCCGCAGGUGCAAAAAACGAACAACUGUUAACAAUGGAUAUCUUGGUUCUC
rnacentral:misc_RNA from 1 species